rnacentral:lncRNA from 12 species
CCCCGCGCCCCCCCCGGGCCCCGCGCCCCGCGCCCCCCCUUUUCGGAGGCUCUCGCCCUCGGUCCGCGGCCUCGGCCUCUGACACUGCCUCCGCGAGGCCCUCCGGGGACGCCAGCCCCCUCCCCGCCCAGCCCUCCGCGCCGCACCAGGGACAGGGGGUGGUCACCCCGCGACCCGAUGCCUGGGGCAGGCCGUGCCGGCCGCCCUCCUGCUCGGCCUGUUCAGGGCCGCGCCCGCCGGGGAGGGAGACACACCUGGACGAGCUGCAAAGGCCAAGCCCCUGGACAGCUGUCUCUCCUGUCUUUUCCUGGCCUAUUUUCUGAGAUUAUUUCUGAAGAGUAACUGAGCUGGCAUCCGGGACCGAACUUGGCCUGACCUCAAGCCUGCCCGCCGUCCCACCCCCCUCCCCAGCUCUGCAGCCUCUGCUCUGCAGACCCACAGCCAGACCUGCUACCACCCUGAGAAGGGGGACAGGGAAACCCUAGCCCUCUGUGCUAGAGGGCAGUCGGGGGCACUGAAAGCAGGGCCAGGGCCUGCACCCCAUCUGCAGAUGGGGAAACUGAGGGCCCAGACCUUCAGUGACUUGGCAGGACUCACAAGCACCAGUGCCUCCUGUCUCCUGUCACUAUCACACUCCCAGGUACCUUUGGCUUCCCUGGAGCCCUCCCCCCAGGCCUCCCCCCUCCCAAGGUGGCACAUCUGGAGUCUUCAGUCCCACAGAAAAGGGACAGUCAGGCCUGUGGUCACCAGCUCCCUAGGGACCAGUGUUCGAGGUCUGGAGUGGAGCCGUGGAGCAGCGUGGAAGGCAGCUGAUGGAGAGAAGACUGGAGCCGCUCCCUGGAAAGAGAAAGUGUCCAAGGCAGGCCUGGGUCAAUGCCUUCUAUGAAAUGCCUCUGGAUGACCAAAGGCUGCUGGCCCGGAGUGGGGAAGGGGGGCUCACUCCUUGUCCUGGUGCUCUCAUCUCCCAGGACAGAGUCCAGGGGAGAGCCCCAAACCCCACCACAGACACACUGGAGCUGCCCCCUGUCUAGCUCAGACCCUCGUGGUGGUGGCACCCAUCGACUGACAGGCAACAUAUCUGCCUGGGACAUUUCAGAAGUCAGCACUGCGAGCUGCUGGCCCUGGCCAGAAGGUUCAUGGGGCGUGCCCCCCGAUCUCCUAGACAGGACAGCAUAAGGCCUCUUUCCCUUUCUCCAGCCUGGAUACUGCCAGUGGGACGGCCAAGCAAAACCCUCACCCAGCUCCUGUUUAUCGAGCAGUGCAACCCCGGGGGUGAGGGGUGACAUCGGGAGGGGGUGCAAAUGGCAGGGCCCGGCCUGGACACACCGCAUUAACCCAGCUAAGGGGCCAUGGUCUCCCCCAGUGGGCUCUGAGUCUGCUUCCGCAGCAGGCGGAAGACGUGCUGGCUGUGGUACAAAGAGAAGUAAAUAAGACACUCCUGCGUGGAAAAAAAAUGCUACUUUUUAAUUCACAAGGAAAAGAAGUUAAUGAGUGAAAAAAUAAGUUACACCCAGAAAAAUCUGUUCAACCAACUUGGGCUACAAAUAGCUCAAUGCUUUCCAGAAAAAAAAAAAAUUCUUUUAGUUAAGGGAUUCUCAAGAGACUGCAUUCAGCCCAUGCGGUGUCUCCCUCCCCCUUUGCACAGACUUGUGGGCGUCGGUGUGGUCACACAGGAUGGAAGGUGGCUCACAGCAAACCACUGUGAAGGUGAUGAGAGGACAAAGGGGGGGCGAGUGAAACAGGUGUGGGGUUCAGAGGUUUGCUUCAGGUGACACACAGAUGUCAGGGGCAACAGGGGCCACCAGUGACAAAGCCCCAGGACAUUCUGUUCAUCUUAGGACAAGGACAGAGGGCAGGCUGGGUACCAUGCAUUAGACCCCUGAGAC